CCAUUUUAUAAAGACCUGGGUUGGUUUUUCUCUUUGGUUAUCUAGCUGUAUGAGUGUAUGUGAUAUCAUAAAGCUAGAGAACCGAAUGUAAAAACCCGCUCGCUGUUCUCCGGGAGAAAAG
rnacentral:precursor_RNA from 10 species